rnacentral:lncRNA from 1 species
GGGAAAUAUAUUUUAAUGGCCAAGACAGGGUACAGUAAUCACAUGAAUUAUUUCCCCCUCUUUAAACUGUCAGACAACUGCAUAAUGAAAAUGUCAGAGAUCGCUCAGCUUCCUGUCGCAAGCAAUAGCCUUAGACGAGCUGCUGGCAGCAAGUUAACGUGAACAUACAUAUUUAGCUUUGUAAGCAUACUGGAAGGUAAGCACAUUAUUUUCCUCCAGCUAUAUAAAAUAAAAACAAGAAAAGGUCAUUGAUUAAUAUUUGCCCUUGGCUGAAGUCAUUGCACCCCUUUUUAAAAAAAAAAAUCCUGUAUUACAAAAACACUUUUUAAAAAAUCGAAGAUCCAGUGCUUAAUGGUCCUGCAAGUACACUAUAAUUCACCGGUACACUUUCAGAAUGACAUGAAAUGAUCAUUAGUGAAUAAUGGGAUUAAGAAGACCACCAGAUGUUAUUUAUAUCUCACUCCAAUGUGCUGUUAAGAAUGACUCCACUUCACACUGUAUUUACGUAUCAAAGUCCUUAACUUCUCUUUUGUCGAAAUCUUUGUAACAACGGUACCGUUGGUCUUACCCGUCAUUUCCCCUCUAGGAAACACAAAAAUAGCACAUUAAUUUGAUAAAAAAAAGAACAGAAAUUUGUGGUUAUGUUAUGUUCUUCAGACGCCAACACUCAUUUAUCUUUUGGCUGAAUUUGCCCAGGAAGUGUUUUUAUCAUAUUUACACGCUUUGUAACUUAGUUAUGUCCACAACAGUCCCUCCAGAGGGAAUUCAUUAGAAUUUGUGUUUUACCCUGGAGAAUACAUUGCUUCUCCCCUUUAUAAUUACUGCAUUACUAUGGAUCCCAUUAGCAUCAUUAUAUAGCUUCCACCUCUACCUGCUGGAGGAGAGCAUUGUACUCAGUCACACCUUCUCCGCACUGCUCAAAGUUUUAUUUUCAAAUGAUAACUGUAACCAGUCGACUAAAUUUAGCAAGUUAAAAAUUUUAUGGAGGCUAAAAAGGGAUAGUGAGGAACAAGCCUGGGGGAUGGAUACUUUAGGGUAAAAAAAUUAUUUCCCCAAAGAUCUUUAGCUGUAGGUUACUUUUUUUUUUUUUAAGGCUUAUUGAUUGAUUGAUUGAUUGAUUGAUUGCACCCACGGCAUAUGGAAGUUCUCAGGCUAAGGGCUGAGUCAGAGCUGCAGGUGCUGGCCUACACCACGGCUACAACCAUGCAGGAUCCAAGCUGUGUCUGUGACCUACACCACAGCUCAUGGCAACCCUGGAUCCUUCACCCACUGAGUGGGGCCAGGGAUCGAACCUGCAUCCUCAGGGAUCUUAGUUGGGUUCGUGACUGCUGAGCCAUGACGGGAACUCCCUGUAGGAUACUUCUUGAAGUACCUGAAGUAAGUAUAAUCUUAAGAGUAACUUUUAAAGAUUUUACCAAAGUCAACUAAUACUUAAUUACAAAUAUUUUCAGUGGUGUACUGUGAUCUCUUUGCCAUUCUUCUGUAUUUCAGCUUGUCUUGUUUUCCCCUCUUGGAUUGAUUUUUUACAAGCCCUCUCAAAACUUGUUACUCAGGGAAUACCAGACAAACUAUGUGGGAACUUCAGUCCCUAAAGUUGGAAGACAGAAAUAAUUAAGGACACUGGAAUAAAAGCAUUAUUACCAGUUGCCAGCUGUUACCAAGCAUCCAUCUGAGCAAAGAGCCAGGCAAAUGAUAAAAUAUAGAGAAUAUAUCUUUCCAAAAUAAAAAUAGCUUUAUUGUUUUAUGAUAAUAAAAGCAAUACAUACUCAUUACAAAAAAUUUCAAAUACACAAAAGUCUAAAGAAAGUAAAGUUCACCCAGACACCACAGCCCAGAAACAAACCAUUAAUUUUUUUAGUAAAGAUUUCCCUUUGAAAUAUAUUAUUUAACAAUAUCUAAUGUUAUAAAUGGGGCCAUAUCAAAUAUGCUAUUCUGUGGUCUGCUUUUUCAUUCAAUAAUAUUUCAGGGAUAGAUUUUUCCAUGGCAAUAAACACAAACCUAAAUAGUUUUUAAUUAGACAGUUGCAAACAACUAUGUAUUUGUGCUAUAAUUUAUUUAACCCAUCUUCUAUUGAAGGAUAUUUAGCCUGUUUCCAAUACAUUAACAUCAUAAACAUUAAAAAGUACAGCUUCACCUUUCACACUUGUGAUAUUUUUAAUCAUUAGGAUAAAUUCCUAAAUAAACUGCUGGAUAAAAGGGUAUCACCAUUUAAAGUUUUUUUUUUUUUGGAUUAAAGUAUAGUGGAUGUACAAUGUUGUGCCAAUUUCUGCUGUACAGCAAAGAGACCCAGUCACGCACAUAUACAUAUACAUACCCUUUCUUAUCUUCCAUCACGGUCUACCCCAAGAGACUGGAUAUAGUUCCCUGCACUAUACUGCAGGACCUCAGUGCUUAUCCAUUCUAAAUGUAAUAGCUUGCAUCCACUAACCCCAAACCCCCAGGCCAUCCACUCCCACCGCCUUUCCCUUGGCAACCCAAGUCUGUUCUCUAUGUCUGGUAUUAACGUUUAAAGUUUUGAUACAUGUUGCCUUCUAGAGAGGUUGUGCCAAUUCCUACUCCUGCCAACAGUGGACGAGAAUGCCCAUUUGCCCAUAUUCCUGUCAACUGUCUUAAUCUUUGCCCAUCUGGAAGGACAAAAUUAAUACUUAAAAAUAAUAAAAACAUAUUUAUUAGCUGUUUUCAUUUUCAAAUAGGGGAUACUUUUACUUUUUUAAGUUACUCCUUCUCACAGCAGAUAUUUCUUGGGCUUAAAUAAAGAAUUUUCAGUUUGCGUCCCCAGUCCAUCAUAAAUAUGACUCAGGAUAAGAGUCAACUUCUUUGGAGUUCCCUUGUGGUGCAGCAGGUUAAGGAUCUGGUGUCACUUCAGCGGCUUAGGUUGCUGCUAUGGCACAGGUUCAAUCCCUGGUCUAGAAAUUUUCACAUACCACAGGAGCACCCCAAAAUAAAAAAAGGAAUCAACUUCUCUAAACCUCAUUUUCCUUGAUCUUACAGUAACAGAGCCCAGCUCAAUAGAUGUCAUGUGAAUGCAGCUAGCACAGUACUAAAUAUGUCAAUAUGGACUGAGUCUGAAUCUCCCGCUAGUACCUUCUUGCCCUCAAUCCCAAUUGACAUUAGUCUAUAAGAAAAUUUUAAAAUUAAGGAGCCACUGAAAAACAUUAGAAAUGUUCUCUUGCUAUUUAUAGAGAUGAUCAUAAAAGUCUGCAAUGAAGCAGAUGACAUCAACAAAAAGCUCUUAAGUGAAGGUUUGGUGGCAAUGCAGGUUUGGUAGGCAUAUUUGGAAUAAAAAUGCCUCACAAGAAAAUACUUGCAAUCAAGCCCAAUGUACUAUCAUGCAUACAUAAAUAAUGUGGAAAAGAGGCAAGCAAAAUACAACAAACAUCAGCUUAUUCCCUGUAAAGUGUUGGCUUAUCAUUGCAUAGACAUGGUUUGGGAAUGCUUUUCAUCAUGAAACAAAUUUAUGAGCAACAUACACAACUUCUAGUUCCUCUUUUCAAAGAUACCUCAGAUAUUAAUAUUUGAAACUAAUCACCUUCAUCCAAGAAUGGUGAAAAGGAACCAUUUAAGUAAAUGACUGAUGACAGUCUGGGUAUCACAAAGACAGAGUUUGGGUACAAUCUAAAUGCAACUGUUGAUACACUUGAUACCAGUGAGUCUGAAGACAUUUUGAAGGAUUAACUGAUUCAUUCAUUUUACAAAUAUUUGUUGGGCCAUACUAUGUACCAGAUACAGUGCUAGCCAUUAGGGAUACCAAAAUGAGCCUCUGUGCUCAGGGAAGAUUCAGUUUUGGGGAGGAAAGAGGAGUCAACUGGCAGUUCCAGUAUGGGUGAUGGUGAGGUGAGGCACAUGUAGACACUUCAGACGUCUCAGCAGAAGCCUCCUGAAGAUGCCAUCAGCAGCCCAAUGAAUGCCCUGAAGAAUUACAGGUCAAUGGGAGAGCAGGUGCUAUUAUGAUUGCCAGAAGGUAUGCCAUAGACAUCAGAAGCAAAGCAAUAGCCUACCACAGAGACAGCAGCUAUACUACAGACAAGAAGAAAACCCCUCUGAAUCCCUACAAAAGAGCUGGUAGAGAAGCCAGGGUCCAUGUCCAGAGAAUACUCUGAGAUGGUUUAGCCUGGCUGGUCCCACGGAGAGCUUCCAGUUAGUGUUAGAAUUGAGAUUAAAAAUCUCCCACAGCCACUUCCUGUCCAUCUGCUCAUUCAUUUACUCACUCAUAUGUAAGUUCCAUGAGGGCAAGAAUUUUGGUUGGCUUCGGUUUUCACUUGUAUCCCCUGCUCCUAGUACAGUGCCUGACACGGAGGAGGCCAUUGAUAAAUAUUUAUUGAAUGAGUGGAUCAAUGAAUUCAUUUAAUUCACAUGAAGUGAUUGCAAAAGUGGGUGCCUGAAGCAGAGGGGCAGAAUAAUGAAAAAGACAGGAGACACAGCAAGGCUCCUAUGCCUACUGAAAAUUUCGGGAAUCAACAAAGGACCUCUUCCUGGGGGCCUGAAUCUGCAGUGGCUUCUUUGUGGCACGGUGAGCAUAAGAAAGGGCAUGGACUUUGCAGUCAGGCAGUUGUGGGUUCAAAUCCUGGCUCCUCCAGAUCUGGGAGGCCCUUAGGCAAGUUACCCAUCCUCCCUGAGUCAGUUUCCACAUCUAUUAAAAUGGGAUUCAUAACUUUAGGGUGGCGGUAAAGGUUAAGUAGGAAAAAACAUGUACAGCUCUGGACCUGGUUUGCUUUGCCCGUGCUUCCGGCCUCAGAGAUAGGGUGCUGCCAAUAGCUCUGGUAGACCUAUGCACCCCCAAGUUCCGGGAUAUCCAUCCUGGAGUGCUUCCUGGGCACCCUUCUCUUUCUCUAAAUCCCUUCUUUCCAGGGAGCCUCACAAGAGCCUUCUUAUCUCGUUAAAAGUGCACAGUGAUCUCUGUCUCCCCCUGGCCUUUCAGCCCUUGCUUUCGGUUCCACUAGAUUAUAGUUCAAAUAACAGACACCACGGAACGGUUAACUUGGGUGGAUGCCUUUUUGUCCUUACUAUAACACUUGCUCCUUACCUGGUACCCAGCAGCUAACACAGGGCCUUGAUUCUGGCAGAUGCUUCAUACAUGCUACCCAGUUAAGCCUUGCUUCCUACUCAUUGUCCCUCAGGUCAUAAAAGCUGUUCUACACAAGCUGAUGGAUGAUUCCAUGAAACUUCACUAUCAGGCAGAUCAUUAAAACAAUUCUCCAGACACCAAUAAAGCUGAUUAUGUCAGAAAUCCCAUACCUAAUUUUCACAAACAACAAAACACACUCUUCAUGUUUUAGGGAAUUGUAAAAAACCUAUCAAGUAAAUAGGAUUUGCCUGGAGGACUGGCCAUGGUGAAUUAUACGAAAGAAGGUGAGUGAAAUUCUUUAUUAAUUUGUUUGGUGAUCAGAAAAUACACUUAGGGGCUCAUUCUUGGUUUCUUCAUGUGUCUUAGAUACCACGAAGGGAUCUUUUUACUGCCUAUAGCAAGACUCAAGGUUUAAUUUCUAUCAGUUAUUCACUUGACAAGAAGGUAAAUCUAGCAAGGAGAACUGGAUUGCUCAAUAGCAAAUUCUGGUAACGUCUAGCCACAGUGGUAUCUGCUUACCAUUAAUCAAGCUAUUGCCAGCUAAUAAGAUCUUGAAGAUGUCCAAAAUAGUCACAUCCUAGAAAGAGGAUCUAGUCAAAGAGACCCUUGAUUAAUAAUAUUUCUAAAGCUUCUACUCAAUGCUAAGCAAAACUGUAUAUAAUAGGGUUGGGGCUACAAUAUGUGUUUUUACCAAACCUUCCACAUCAUUGUGACGAACAUUAAAGUUUCAAAAGCACUGCUUCAACUAAGCAAGUUCAAAUCAACACCGUACCAACAGAUCACACGUUCUGAAUUAACAGCGGGGACCC